UACGUAGGGUGCGAGCGUUGUCCGGAAUUACUGGGCGUAAAGGGCUCGUAGGCGGUUUGUCGCGUCGGGAGUGAAAACCAGGUGCUUAACACCUGGCUUGCUUUCGAUACGGGCAGACUAGAGGUAUUCAGGGGAGAACGGAAUUCCUGGUGUAGCGGUGAAAUGCGCAGAUAUCAGGAGGAACACCGGUGGCGAAGGCGGUUCUCUGGGAAUAUCCUGACGCUGAGGAGCGAAAGUGUGGGGAGCGAACAGG
rnacentral:rRNA from 1 species